UGCCUUAGUAACGGCGAGUGAAGCGGCAAUAGCUCAAAUUUGAAAGCUGGCCCCUUCGGGGUCCGCGUUGUAAUUUGUAGAGGAUGAUUCGGCGAGGGCUCCCGUCUAAGUCCCUUGGAACAGGGCGUCAUAGAGGGUGAGAAUCCCGUAUGUGAUGGGCUGCCUUAGCCAUGUGAAUCUCCUUCGACGAGUCGAGUUGUUUGGGAAUGCAGCUCUAAAUGGGAGGUAAAUUUCUUCUAAAGCUAAAUACCGGCCAGAGACCGAUAGCGCACAAGUAGAGUGAUCGAAAGAUGAAAAGCACUUUGGAAAGAGAGUUAAAAAGUACGUGAAAUUGUUGAAAGGGAAGCGCUUGCAGCCAGACUUGUCCGCAGUUGCUCAGCUUGUCUCCUGACAGGCGUACUCUUCUGCGGCCAGGCCAGCAUCAGUUCGGGCGGUCGGAUAAAGACCUGGGGAAUGUAGCUCCUCUCGGGGAGUGUUAUAGCCCUGGGUGCAAUGCGGCCAGCCUGGACUGAGGAUCUCGCUUCGGCUAGGAUGCUGGCGUAAUGGCUGUAAGCGGCCCGUCUUGAAACACGGACCAAGGAGUCUAACAUCUAUGCGAGUGUUUGGGUGUCAAACCCAUGCGCGUAAUGAAAGUGAACGGAGGUGGGAACCCUCACGGGUGCACCAUCGACCGAUCCUGAUGUCUUCGGAUGGAUUUGAGUAAGAGCAUAGCUGUUGGGACCCGAAAGAUGGUGAACUAUGCCUGAAUAGGGUGAAGCCAGAGGAAACUCUGG
rnacentral:rRNA from 1 species